UUGGCCUAUCUGCUCCCCGCGUUCCGCAUCCAAUCCUACCCUCGCCUCGUCCCACUCCCACUCCAGCCGCCAGACAAACCCUAGCCCCCUUUCCUCGAUCCCCACAGCCAAUCCCCCCUCGCGUCACCAUGGCCUCUGCCCUGGAGCCCCGCGGACGUCUGCUAUAACCCCUCCCUCGUCUCUGUCCGGCCGCCCUCUCGUGUUCCACCACGCAGCCGCCUCUUCCUCCUCUAUUCCCUCCUACCGUGGUUCCGGAUCGGGUGCAGGCCGUCAUAGUGGAGAGCAUGAGCGUCAAGGUCUUAAUAGUGGGGUGGAGCUGCAGGGGAGGUAAGGAUGCCGGACGGAUCUGGUGCCUGUCGGCUGAAGCAGCAGGAGUUGGCAGAGCGACGGAUGCGGACGGGGUCAUCAACAGGGGCUGUAAGAGAAGGAGCUCAAGUUGGUUCACGGUGCGCCAGGAGGAGUGGAAGGCUGAGGUCGUUUGACGGUCGGACCAGCAGGAGCAAGGAGCCAACGGUGGUCAAUUUCUUGCAUCCCAUCCCGGACUCUAAAAGAUUUCAGUUUGAUAUAGGCUAUAGUUUGACUUUUUGCUUCUUGAAGUGAAUGGUAUAGCACCAUGUUGAUUACAUUAGAUUUGUUGGUCAGGCUUGUCUAAAGUCAAUAAUUUCUUGAUCCAUUUUCAAUUUAAGUAAACCAUCCAGAUAAUCAUGAUUUGUUUGCCCUAUUCAGUGUUUCUGUUGUGCUUUGUUUUUGUUUGAAGAUUUGGGUUGGAAUUGUUGGAUA